rnacentral:tRNA from 1 species
GGGCUCUUAGCUCAGUUGGUUAGAGCGCUUCCUUGACACGGAAGAGGUCGGAUGUUCGAGUCAUCUAGAGCCCACCA